UACGAAGGGGGCUAGCGUUGUUCGGAAUUACUGGGCGUAAAGCGCACGUAGGCGGAUCGAUCAGUCAGGGGUGAAAUCCCAGAGCUCAACUCUGGAACUGCCUUUGAUACUGUCGAUCUAGAGUAUGGAAGAGGUGAGUGGAAUUCCGAGUGUAGAGGUGAAAAUUCGUAGAUAUUCGGAGGAACACCAGUGGCGAAGGCGGCUCACUGGUCCAUUACUGACGCUGAGGUGCGAAAGCGUGGGGGAGCAAACAGGGAUUAAGAUAC
rnacentral:rRNA from 1 species